GAUGAAGAACGCAGCGAAAUGCGAUAAGUAAUGUGAAUUUCAGAAUUCAGUGAAUCAUCGAAUCUUUGAACGCACAUUGCGCCCCCUGGUAUUCCGGGGGGCAUGCCUGUUCGAGCGUCAUUUCACCACUCAAGCCUCGCUUGGUAUUGGGCAACGCGGUCCGCCGCGUGCCUCAAAUCGACCGGCUGGGUCUUCUGUCCCCUAAGCGUUGUGGAAACUAUUCGCUAAAGGGUGUUCGGGAGGCUACGCCGUAAAACAACCCCAUUUCUAAGGUUGACCUCGGAUCAGGUAGGGAUACCCGCUGAACUUAAGCAUAUCAAUAAGCGGAGGA
rnacentral:misc_RNA from 1 species